rnacentral:tRNA from 1 species
GAGGGUAUAGCUUAGUGGUAGAGUGUGUGCUUAGCAUGCACAAAGUACUGGGUUCAAUCCCCAGGAUCUCCA